rnacentral:rRNA from 1 species
UGGGGAAUUUUGCGCAAUGGGGGAAACCCUGACGCAGCAACGCCGCGUGGAGGAUGAAGUACUUCGGUACGUAAACUCCUUUCGAUCGGGACGAUAAUGACGGUACCGAGAGAAGAAGCCCCGGCUAACUUCGUGCCAGCAGCCGCGGUAAUACGAGGGGGGCGAGCGUUGUUCGGAAUUAUUGGGCGUAAAGGGUGCGUAGGCGGUUUGGUAAGUCUUAUGUGAAAUCUACAGGCUCAACUUGUAGUCUGCAUGAGAAACUGCCGGGCUUGAGUAUGGGAGAGGUGAGUGGAAUUUCCGGUGUAGCGGUGAAAUGCGUAGAUAUCGGAAGGAACACCUGUGGCGAAAGCGGCUCACUGGACCAUAACUGACGCUGAUGCACGAAAGCUAGGGGAGCAAACAGG